UACGGAGGGUGCAAGCGUUAAUCGGAAUUACUGGGCGUAAAGCGCGCGUAGGCGGUUUGUUAAGUCGGAUGUGAAAGCCCUGGGCUCAACCUGGGAACUGCAUACGAUACUGGCAAGCUAGAGUGCAAUAGAGGGGGGUAGAAUUCCAGGUGUAGCGGUGAAAUGCGUAGAUAUCUGGAGGAAUACCGGUGGCGAAGGCGGCCCCCUGGAUUGACACUGACGCUGAGGUGCGAAAGCGUGGGUAGCAAACAGG
rnacentral:rRNA from 1 species